AACAACAUCUGGACUGUCAUCUGAUUUCACCUCCAUAGAACCAAGGAAUCGGACAAUAAAUAACUGAUGAAGAAUAGAAUCUACGACAGAACAAGUUCAGACCCUCAGUUCAUGCCUGACGUAUGAAAAUGGAAUCCUACAUGCCCCCAGACACUCUCAUCUAAUCAACCAUUACACCAACAGUUUAAGACUUAAAAGAGUGAGGACUUUCUAGAGAAAUUUGCCCUGUUCUGCCUCAACUGAAGUCAUUAACACCCAUCCAGCCCUUGGAGGCGCCCAGGUUCAUAGCAUAGCUGGGCCCACCAUGACUGACAGAAGUAAGACAGCUCCUGUCAUAAGCCAAGUGUUUUCCCAACGACACUGCAGUAUGGACCCAUUUGAUUCCUCCCAGAGUACUCUGCAUCCCUGUGUUCUGCCUGUACGUUUGGAGUGUACCUAUGACUAUGUCUACACUGCUGAGUUUAUCUGGUUUGACACCCUUGCUACUCGAAGUAUAACGGGCAUAAUUAAGAGUUCAGGCCACCUCACCCCAGUCCUACUGAAUGCAUUUUGAGAUCCCCAGGUGACUGGUAUGCACAUUUCAGUUUUCCAUUAUUCUCCAUCAAGAACCUUCAAAACCAAAUAUAUGACUCAAUUCAUACCAUAUCAAAA